rnacentral:rRNA from 1 species
CAGCAGCCGCGGGAAUACGGAGGGGGCUAGCGUUGUUCGGAAUUACUGGGCGUAAAGCGCACGUAGGCGGCUUUACAAGUCAGAGGUGAAAGCCUGGUGCUCAACACCAGAAUUGCCUUUGAGACUGUAUCGCUUGAACGUCGGAGAGGUGAGUGGAAUUCCGAGUGUAGAGGUGAAAUUCGUAGAUAUUCGGAAGAACACCAGUGGCGAAGGCGGCUCACUGGACGACUGUUGACGCUGAGGUGCGAAAGCGUGGGGAGCAAACAGGAUUAGAUACCCCCGUAGUCCCUGUCUCUUAUAC